AACGAACGCUGGCGGCAUGCCUAACACAUGCAAGUCGAACGAAGGCUUCGGCCUUAGUGGCGCACGGGUGCGUAACGCGUGGGAAUCUGCCCUUGGGUUCGGAAUAACGUCGGGAAACUGACGCUAAUACCGGAUGAUGACGUAAGUCCAAAGAUUUAUCGCCCAAGGAUGAGCCCGCGUCGGAUUAGCUAGUUGGUGAGGUAAAAGCUCACCAAGGCGACGAUCCGUAGCUGGUCUGAGAGGAUGAUCAGCCACACUGGGACUGAGACACGGCCCAGACUCCUACGGGAGGCAGCAGUGGGGAAUCUUGGACAAUGGGCGAAAGCCUGAUCCAGCAAUGCCGCGUGAGUGAUGAAGGCCUUAGGGUUGUAAAGCUCUUUUCCCCGGGAUGAUAAUGACCGUACCGGGAGAAUAAGCUCCGGCUAACUCCGU
rnacentral:rRNA from 1 species